AUUGAACGCUGGCGGCAUGCCUUACACAUGCAAGUCGAACGGCAGCACGGGAGCAAUCCUGGUGGCGAGUGGCGAACGGGUGAGUAAUAUAUCGGAACGUGCCCGGUCGUGGGGAUAACGUAGCGAAAGCUACGCUAAUACCGCAUACGAUCUACGGAUGAAAGCGGGGGAUCGCAAGACCUCGCGCGAUUGGAGCGGCCGAUAUCAGAUUAGGUAGUUGGUGAGGUAAAGGCUCACCAAGCCGACGAUCUGUAGCUGGUCUGAGAGGACGACCAGCCACACUGGGACUGAGACACGGCCCAGACUCCUACGGGAGGCAGCAGUGGGGAAUUUUGGACAAUGGGCGCAAGCCUGAUCCAGCAAUGCCGCGUGCAGGAUGAAGGCCUGGUGUAACUAGCUUUGUUACGG
rnacentral:rRNA from 1 species